rnacentral:rRNA from 1 species
AGAGUUUGAUCAUGGCUCAGGAUGAACGCUGGCGGCGUGCUUAACACAUGCAAGUCGAACGAAGCACCUUGAUUUGAUUCUUCGGAUGAAGAUCUUGGUGACUGAGUGGCGGACGGGUGAGUAACGCGUGGGUAACCUGCCUCAUACAGGGGGAUAACAGUUAGAAAUGACUGCUAAUACCGCAUAAGACCACAGCACCGCAUGGUGCAGGGGUAAAAACUCCGGUGGUAUGAGAUGGACCCGCGUCUGAUUAGGUAGUUGGUGGGGUAACGGCCUACCAAGCCGACGAUCAGUAGCCGACCUGAGAGGGUGACCGGCCACAUUGGGACUGAGACACGGCCCAAACUCCUACGGGAGGCAGCAGUGGGGAAUAUUGCACAAUGGGGGAAACCCUGAUGCAGCGACGCCGCGUGAGCGAUGAAGUAUUUCGGUAUGUAAAGCUCUAUCAGCAGGGAAGAAAAUGACGGUACCUGACUAAGAAGCACCGGCUAAAUACGUGCCAGCAGCCGCGGUAAUACGUAUGGUGCAAGCGUUAUCCGGAUUUACUGGGUGUAAAGGGAGCGUAGACGGAGUGGCAAGUCUGAUGUGAAAACCCGGGGCUCAACCCCGGGACUGCAUUGGAAACUGUCAAUCUAGAGUACCGGAGAGGUAAGCGGAAUUCCUAGUGUAGCGGUGAAAUGCGUAGAUAUUAGGAGGAGCACCAGUGGCGAAGGCGGCUUACUGGACGGUAACUGACGUUGAGGCUCGAAAGCGUGGGGAGCAAACAGGAUUAGAUACCCUGGUAGUCCACGCCGUAAACGAUGACUACUAGGUGUCGGGCAGCAAAGCUGUUCGGUGCCGCAGC